UUCAUCCCAACGUAUUGUGAGCGAUGAAAACAGCGUUGGCGCAGCCCAGCUCAUUGAUCAGACGAUGAACAUCAGACAGCACACUGCAGCUCCAGCUCGAAAACAUCAUCACAUCCGUUCUUGUGAACUCCUCUCUCGAGUUCGAAGUAUCGGCAUUGUGGAUGGUUCAGCAGAACAGCAGGUUCAGGACAGCCCAAUCGAUGCUGCCCAGGCAAGCGGCAGUGACCCUCCUUCUAGAGCGAAUAGAGAAAGGCCACAGUCUGAAUGGUCUUGCCGAGGCCCAUCUCAUCGGCUAGAAUGGUGUCGAUGGCCUGUCGAGGCUCUUCAGGUACUUUAUCCGAUUUUGAGAUAUUUUAAUUAGUAUUGAUUCAAGUUCAUCCCACCGUAGUGUGAGCGAUGAAAACAGCGUUGGCGCAGCACAGCUCAUUGAUCAGACGAUGAACAUCAGAUAGCAGACUGCAGCUCCAGCUCGAAAACAUCAUCACUUCCGAUCUUGUGAACCAAGUACCAAGCGGAUGCUGCCGCAGACAGUCGUCAUU
rnacentral:lncRNA from 1 species